rnacentral:rRNA from 1 species
CAGUAGCCGCGGGAAUACGAAGGGUGCAAGCGUUAAUCGGAAUUACUGGGCGUAAAGCGCGCGUAGGUGGUUUGUUAAGUUGGAUGUGAAAUCCCUGGGCUCAACCUGGGAACUGCAUUCAAAACUGACUGACUAGAGUAUGGUAGAGGGUGGUGGAAUUUCCUGUGUAGCGGUGAAAUGCGUAGAUAUAGGAAGGAACACCAGUGGCGAAGGCGACCACCUGGACUAAUACUGACACUGAGGUGCGAAAGCGUUGGGAGCAAACAGGAUUAGAUACCCGCGUAGUCCCUGUCUCUUAUAC